rnacentral:rRNA from 1 species
AACGAACGCUGGCGGCAUGCCUAACACAUGCAAGUCGAACGGGACCUUCGGGUCUAGUGGCGCACGGGUGCGUAACGCGUGGGAACCUGCCUUUAGGUUCGGAAUAACUCAGAGAAAUUUGAGCUAAUACCGGAUGAUGUCUUCGGACCAAAGAUUUAUCGCCUUUAGAUGGGCCCGCGUUGGAUUAGCUAGUUGGUGGGGUAAAGGCCUACCAAGGCGACGAUCCAUAGCUGGUCUGAGAGGAUGAUCAGCCACACUGGGACUGAGACACGGCCCAGACUCCUACGGGAGGCAGCAGUGGGGAAUAUUGGACAAUGGGCGAAAGCCUGAUCCAGCAAUGCCGCGUGAGUGAUGAAGGCCUUAGGGUUGUAAAGCUCUUUUACCCGAGAUGAUAAUGACAGUAUCGGGAGAAUAAGCUCCGACUAACUCCGUG